CUGAGUGUGUCUGUGAGGGUGGUUUAGGAUUAGAGGGACAUCGGAAUUGGCAGACCAAGAAAAGCCGAAUGCCCUUCCUCAUGGAGCUGGACCUUGUGCCAUCAGUUGAAUGCCUGAAUGGAACGAAAAAAAGGCUGACCCUCCCAUGAUUUGAUGGGGGCAACGCAGAGGGGCCCUGGUGGAUGUUACCUAUGCAAGAGCUUUAUGUCACAGCUACGCAGCACUGAGCUUGGGGAACCCACCCCUGUCCCCUCCUACCACCACCACUCUUACACUGUCGCUGUACUAUCGAGAAAGUGCAAACACAGUGAGGGCAGGAGCCAGUGCUCCUUGUUCCUCCGUUCCACACCCAGAUGGUUUGCAUCCCACAGGUGCUUAGGCCAUAUUUGUGGAUAUCUUCUUGCAUGCUUAUGCUUUUGCAGCGUCUCCUGGGACUGCCCCUUGGAAUGUCUUCAGGAUUCUAGAGGCUAAAAAUAUCUCCCCAAACCACCCCACUGGCUUCCUUGUAAGGAGCUGGGCUUAGCUGCGAGGCUGAAGAUUUGUGCCCACCAGGCAGCGCACCACCCUUAAGUCUGCAGAUGGCCUUUCUUAGAUGCCAAAGGACUCUUCUCUCCCUCAAAGUGUUGAUUUGGUUAGGUCCCCUGCUCACAGACGUAGUUUAUGGAGCAUAACCCCAUCAUCAGCCCAGCACCCAGAGUCAGGCCCCAGGUGUCUGUCCUAGCUCCAGCCUUUUUCAUAACCGGCAACCUGAGGACACUGAGGAUGUCCCAGGAGGGAUUGAUUGCUAAGGGAAGCUGAGAGAAAGGCCCCAGAAUUGGGAUCAGAAGAUCUAGGUUUGAGUCUCCACACGGACACUUGCUAGUUCUGUUUCUCCCAGCAAGUUAUAUAACCUCU